rnacentral:pre_miRNA from 1 species
UGGAGGAACAACCACGGUGGCGGCGGCCAGCUCUGGAAACCUGGAUUCAGCUCCCGCUGUAACUUCAGAGCUCUGUCUGCAGGGGCUGUGCCCUCCUGGCCUCU